rnacentral:lncRNA from 1 species
GGAAACUUACAAUCAUGAUGGAAGGUGAAGGGAAAGCAAGGCACCUUCUUCACGAUCAUGGUGGAAGAGAUUCAGGCAAGUCUCAUGUGGCAGCAGGCAAGAGAGAGAGAAGGGGAAUGAACGUGGAAGUGUAUCCAACUGGAAGAAUAAGUCCAAACCAAGGAGAUUUUGAGAGUCAAACUUAGGGAAAACCAAGAAGAAACUAAAAGUCCAGAGAUUGAACCACCAAAUGUAAGAACUAAUCUCCUACUAAUAGGAGGAAUCAACAUGUUCUUUCCAACAGACCUGUAGCCUCUGAUGGCACACAGUGUCACUGAGAUCAGCUGGGUGGUCAGGUGUUUGAGCCACCUUGAAACACCAGCAGCUGAGGAAAAGAGCUCCUGCUGCACCUGCUGGGAGCGGUGGGGUUGGGGCUUCCCACUUCCCGAAGCCCUGGAAAAGGGCACCCAGACAUUUUACAGAAUCCUUGAGAUGGAAGGUGAGUUUUCCAGGCCAUUCCACAGGUUAAGCCUGCUGGCUGAUUCAGCCAUACAGGAGAGUUUGCCUGGGAAUGGAUACCCCAGUGGCUGCUACUUUGACUGAUAAAGCAAGCCCAGGAAGAUGGUUGAGAAUAGUUUGUGCACUCCGAUUAUCUCUGACAUUUUCCCAACUCAUAGUUGGAGCAGAGCUAUGACAAAGGCAUGCAUGUUGCUAGUGCAGACAUCCUCUUGGCUGUUAAGGGCUGAAUUCUGUACCCCCACGUUCAUAUGUUGAAACCCUAACAUCCAAUAUCUCAAAAUGUGCCUGUGGAGACAGGGCCUUCAAAGAGGUUGCUGAAUUAAAAUUUGGUCAUAUGGGUGGGCCUAAUCCAAUCUCACCUGUGUGUUUAUAAAAGGAGAUUAGAACACAGACACGCCAGGGGGAAGACCAUGUAGGGAAACAGGGCAAAGGAACUGCCUGCAAGCAAGAGAGAGGCCACAGAGGGAACCAACUCCGCAGACAUUUCGAUCUCGGGCUUCCAGCCUCCAGAACUAUGAGACAAUACAUUUCUACUGUUUAGCCACCCAGUCUUCAUACUUUGUUACAGGGGCCCUAGCCACCUGUAGACCAGCAUAGGGUCAAAAAGCUGUCAUGACCAAGUGCCCACACUGGGUCAGCAGUCCCAGAAGCAGUAUCAGAAUCAUCUGUGCAGAUAAAACUCUGAAGUCCAAGAAAGAGCCAUUGGCACACAAAUAAGACCAGAACAAAUCAGGGAACCAGGUGAUGACCUUUACUGUCAGAGAUCCGUGUAUACAGUACAGUCAGCUGACAAGAGGGCUCUCAAUCGUGGCCACAUAUUUGAAUCACCUGGGGAGCUGUUAAAACCCAUGACACUAGGUCACAACCUAGACAAAUGAAAUCGGAAUCCCUGGAGGGUGAGACCCAGGCAUCAAGAAGGAUUUAAGAUCUCUGCAAGAUUCAAAUAGGCAGCCAAAGUUGAGAACAGCUGGCUUAAAGAGAUUACGAGACUUUGUUACAGUAUCUCAGCACGGAUUACAUUUCAAUUUAGUUCUUUGCUAUUAUUCUUAUCCUCUGAAAUGUUUACACCACACGACGGCCUAUCACUGGCUCUGAAUUUUAUAUCAUAAUCACAUAAUAGGUUCCUCACUUAAGUUGUAGACAUAGGCAAAACUUUUCUUGUUUUUGAUGUAAGAUAAAGGGAGAGAAUGACUGGAGCAAAACAAAAAUAAGAUAAUACAAAAUAAGUCAUGGGGUGGCAUCACAUUUUAAGAGUCUUCAUUUAUGACAAAAGCACAAGCUUAUUUGUUGGGGACAUAACUUUUGCCAUUUUUCCUACCUUGACUGUUUAAGCUCGCAGCAAUUUUAUAGCUCGCUGUACAGGCUAAGGCUUUUGGUGCCUUUCUUUUUUAAGCUGUGUCAAAAUACCUUUAAGGAAAAAAGAUGAUUUGAAAGGUAUAAACCCAACGAAAGUAAUAGCACAGUUACAGUUUUUGUGUUUGGGCAGAUUUUAAGACAUUUCUAUGUAUUUUUCUGACACAAUGGAUCCUAAGGACUGCCGUAGACGUAGAUUAGUCUGAUUUUAGGCCAUUGCUUUGCAGCAUUAUGCAGUUUUUAUCUGAAAGACGUUUCAAGAGGGGGAGCUAGUUAGCUAAUUAAUUAGAGAUUGUGACUUAAAUUUUUCAGACAAGAGAUACUUUCCGAGUUUAAGGAGAACCCGAAGAAAGCUGCGUUUCUGUAUCCGUGCCAUGGGAAGUCUCCUGUCCUGUUUCCACUCUGCCUUCUCCAUAAAGCAGGCUGAUUAUCAGGGCCCUCACACAAGCCCAGCGUGGUAGCUGAUUAAGGCUUGACAAGCAAAAAGCAAACAGGAUUUCUAAUCAUGUGUCUCAUAGAAAUGGAGCCACAAAAACCCAAAGAAUUGCCAUUACACCCCAAGUCAUGCAAUUUAGAGCAACUCAGGAAAUAGGUGCACACAAGCAAACCAUGUGGUUAAAGCCUUUGGAACUGGUUUGAGCAAAGCUGUAGGUGAUUUGACAAAAUCAUCUGCAAAACCAGAUUUCUAACACCUCCCUGCUGUGUAUCUCAUUUCUGCUGAUGUGUGGUGCUUCAUAAGAUGGGGACGUUAAGCAUGCAGCAACUACAGUCAUUUGUUCUCAGAGGUCUGGACCAAAGAGAAACAAGAAAAGCUGGAGUCACACUACCAAAGGCCGAAGCUGAGCAACAGAGCUCUGGAGUCAGCUGCCUGGGUUCAGCAUGCAGCGCUGCCGUGGACGAUCUGUCUCUCUUGCAUAUAUGACUUACCAGUUUUACUUUCAGUCUCUCCAUUUCUAAUUAAAUGAGAUGCAGAAAUGCUGGUGCCUUGCUAUGAUGUUUGCAGUUAUUAUUUCUAGGAAAAAAAAUAUUAUUGUUACUCAGUAUCUGGUACAUCAAAACUAAGCCAGAAACGUUUAAAAAGAACAAAAGUAUCAUUUCUACUUAAUUCUCUAGCUACUUGGACAACUGGACUAUGCCCCUCCUUUCAAGGGAGGGCAAAGCAUUUCAGAAAAGAACUAAGUGCUAUUUCUCUGCUUCAGGAAUGUCUCCCGUAUGUAAAAGAAUGUGGCUUCAGGGAGUAGCAUGUGUUGUAAAGGUGGAUGGGUCUAACUUCAUGGACAGCUCUGACAUCCACUAGCUAUGCCACCUGAUGCAAACCACUUGGGCUGUCUGUAGUUUCGUUUAUCUUUCUGGAAUUGGUAAUAACAACCACCUGGCAAGAUCACUGUUAUGAAUACGGAGGAUCAAAGUUGUGAAGUUAUUUUGUAAAGUGAAAUGUUCUGAAAAUUGGAUUUUAACAGUGUCAGCGAAAAGUAGAUUUUUGACAUUUAUCAAGAGUUCAGCUAAUGAAAACAAGUAUGGAUAAUAGUUACAUAGAACUGUCUACUUUACUCAGUACUUUAGCAUAUGCUAUUAUAUUUAAUCUUCUUAAAAAGUAGAAAAUUAUACAAGCCAUGUAUUACUAUUAUUGUGGUGGUUGUCGUUCUCAAUUACACACUGAAUAUUAAGACCUCUCAGGUAGCAGCUGGAAGGACAUUGUAUCCAGUUUCCUGAUUGUUUUCAAUGGAAUAAUCAUGUAUACAUGCACUACUAAUGAGACAAUGGUGAUUCUAAAAGCUUAA